UACGUAGGUGGCAAGCGUUGUCCGGAUUUACUGGGCGUAAAGAGCGCGCAGGCGGUCGGAUAAGUCGAAUGUGAAAGCCCCCGGCUCAACUGGGGAGGGUCAUUCGAUACUGUUCGACUCGAAGGCAGGAGAGGGAAGUGGAAUUCCCGGUGUAGUGGUGAAAUGCGUAGAUAUCGGGAGGAACACCAGUGGCGAAGGCGACUUCCUGGCCUGUUCUUGACUCUGAGGCGCGAAAGCUAGGGGAGCAAACGGG
rnacentral:rRNA from 1 species